GAGUAGUGAUAAUAAUUGCACAACUUGUGAACGAUGGGUCGUCACACUAACCUGAUAUUCAGGUGAAAAGAAGUGCAUCUGAGCUC